GGGAGCGAUCAUACCAGCACUAAUGCACCGGAUCCCAUCAGAACUCUGAACUUAAGCGUGCUUGGGUGAGAGUAGUGCUAGGAUGGGUGACCUCUUGGGAAGUCCUCGUGUUGCACCCC
rnacentral:rRNA from 1 species